UACGUAGGGUGCAAGCGUUGUCCGGAAUUAUUGGGCGUAAAGAGCUCGUAGGCGGUUUGUCGCGUCUGCUGUGAAAACUCGGGGCUUAACCCCGGGCCUGCAGUGGGUACGGGCAGACUAGAGUGCGGUAGGGGAGACUGGAAUUCCUGGUGUAGCGGUGAAAUGCGCAGAUAUCAGGAGGAACACCGGUGGCGAAGGCGAGUCUCUGGGCCGAUACUGACGCUGAGGCACGAAAGCGUGGGGAGCAAACAGG
rnacentral:rRNA from 1 species